UUUUUUUUUUUUUUUUUUUGCUAGUAUGUUCGCUACCACCCUCAAAUUGUCACUUUAAAAAGAUUAUGCUUUUAUAAUAAUCGUCAAUCUCAUUUGAAGACGUCAAAUCAAGUUUAUUGUCCCAAGAAAAGUUUGAUUUUGAACCUCAUUCAUAGGGACAAGUAGAGGGUUUAAUGGUUAGAGCGUGAAGUCAAUGAAAGUAACGGUAACAAGUCAAAAUGUAUAUCUAAGUCAAGAAGCUAUAACUACAAAUUUUUCAUUAUUAUAAAAAGAAAGGGCAUGAAAUUUCUUACUAUUGGAAAUUGAGAAUAAGCAACAUAAAAAUGAUAAAAGGGAGAAAUAGUCUAAUAAAUCUACCAAAGCUAGUAUUGUUGGUGAGUUCCAUUAGUGAUUGAUGCUAAUUCUAAAAUUGAAUAAAUUCUUGAUUAUGGUUGUAUCCAUCACAUGUGGCCUCAUAAGGAUUGGUUCACCACUUAUGAAUAUAUUGAUUGUGGUGUUGUUUUGAUGGGUAAUAAUACAUCUUGUCAGUCCAUUGGUCAAGGCACAAUUCGAAUUAAAAUGUAAGAUGAUAUGAUCAAAACCUUGAUUGAUGUCAAACAAAUUCCUGAUUUGCAAAGGAAUGUCAUCUCUUUAGGCACCUUUGAGUCUCAUGGAUGCAAAUACACUAUUGAAGGUAGAGUUCUAUUAGUCUAUUGGGGCAUUGUCUACUACUGAAGCAGAUUAUGUUGCAGUUACAAAGGGUGUUUGAAAGAGGCUAAUAACUUAGAGGUUUGGUUAUUGAUCUUUGUUUACAGCAAGAUGCUACUGUUGCAUAUUUGUGAUAGUCAAAGUGGCAUUCAUUUGACCAAGAAUCAUAUGCAUCAUGAGAAAACUAAGCACAUAAAUGUGAAGCACCACACUAUCAGAGAUAUCAUAUCUAGAGAAAAAUUUGUAGUUAAGAAAAUUUCAACAACUAAUAAUCCUACAAAUAUGUUGAUGAAACCUCUCCCAACAGUCAAAUUUAAAAAUUGCUUAAACUUGAUUGGUGUCUACAGUACUUGAGUAAAGUUUCGAUGAAGACAAUCAGAGAAUGCUUCACGUGUGGAAAAUUCAAGCUAAGGUGGAAACUUGAUAGAUAUGGUUUAUCUUGUCCAUCUCAAUUCCCAUCAACAAGCCACGUCAAGAUUACAACAUCAUCUUGAAUGAUGAUAAUUAUCUUUUCUUAAUAUAGACCAAGUUAUCCUAAUCUUGAUGAU
rnacentral:misc_RNA from 1 species